rnacentral:rRNA from 1 species
AGUGAACGCUGGCGGUAGGCCUAACACAUGCAAGUCGAACGGCAGCACAGUAAGAGCUUGCUCUUACGGGUGGCGAGUGGCGGACGGGUGAGGAAUACAUCGGAAUCUACUUUUUCGUGGGGGAUAACGUAGGGAAACUUACGCUAAUACCGCAUACGACCUACGGGUGAAAGUAGGGGAUCUUCGGACCUUGCGCGAUUGAAUGAGCCGAUGUCGGAUUAGCUAGUUGGCGGGGUAAAGGCCCACCAAGGCGACGAUCCGUAGCUGGUCUGAGAGGAUGAUCAGCCACACUGGAGCUGAGACACGGUCCAGACUCCUACGGGAGGCAGCAGUGGGGAAUAUUGGACAAUGGGCGCAAGCCUGAUCCAGCCAUACCGCGUGGGUGAAGAAGGCCUUCGGGUUGUAAAGCCCUUUUGUUGGGAAAGAAAAGCAGCAGGUUAAUACCCCGCUGUUCUGACGGUACCCAAAGAAUAAGCACCGGCUAACUUCGUG